rnacentral:rRNA from 1 species
CCUACGGGAGGCAGCAGUGAGGAAUAUUGGUCAAUGGACGAGAGUCUGAACCAGCCAAGUAGCGUGAAGGAUGACUGCCCUAUGGGUUGUAAACUUCUUUUAUAAAGGACUAAAACGAGGCACGUGUGCCUUUUUGCAUGUACUUUAUGAAUAAGGAUCGGCUAACUCCGUGCCAGCAGCCGCGGUAAUACGGAGGAUCCGAGCGUUAUCCGGAUUUAUUGGGUUUAAAGGGAGCGUAGAUGGGUUGUUAAGUCAGUUGUGAAAGUUGGCGGCUCAACCGUAAAAUUGCAAUUGAUACUGGCAGUCGUGAGUACAGUUGAGGUAGGCGGAAUUCGUGGUGUAGCGGUGAAAUGCUUAGAUAUCACGAAGAACCCCGAUUGCGAAGGCAGCUUACUAAACUGUGACUGACAUUGAUGCUCGAAAGUGUGGGUAUCAAACAGGAUUAGAUACCCUAGUAGUC